CUGCACCCUAUCCCUGCAGAACCUACUUCAUUGUUGGCACAUGAUAGGUACCCACAUGUGUUUGUUCAGAAAAAAAUAGGUUCCUUGAGAUGACAUGCUGAUCAAAGGAAGACAGUAACUGUCAAAGAUUGCUCUGAGAUGUCUGUUUCUUCAUGGCAUCUCCUCUUCCCACAGUGCCAUUAGGCACACCAGUCAUGCUUGCUUUCUUGGCCCCCAGGAUCGCCAACCUGAAGAUCCAGCUGGCCAAGCUUGACAGUGAGGCCUGGCCUGGGGUGCUGGACUCAGAGAGGGACCGUCUGAUCCUCAUCAACGAGAAGGAGGAGCUGCUGAAGGAGAUGCGCUUCAUCAGCCCCCGCAAGUGGACCCAGGGGGAGGUGGAGCAGCUGGAGAUGGCCCGGAAGCGGCUGGAAAAGGACCUGCAGGCAGCCCGGGACACCCAGAGCAAGGCGCUGACAGAGAGGUUAAAGUUAAACAGUAAGAGGAACCAGCUUGUGAGAGAACUGGAAGAAGCCACUCGGCAGGUGGCAACUCUGCACUCCCAGCUGAAAAGUCUCUCAAGCAGCAUGCAGUCCCUGUCCUCAGGCAGCAGCCCCGGAUCCCUCACGUCCAG
rnacentral:sRNA from 1 species